UCUUUCUUUCUUUUUUUUUUUUUUUUUUGACAUGAUGUAUUUUAAACAAUUAUAUUGAGAUAUAAUUCACAAACCAUAUAAUUUAUCCAUUAAAAGCGUAUAAUUCAAUGGCUUCCAGUAUAUUCACAGAGUCAUGUAACUAUGACAAUAAUCAAUUCUAGAACAUUUUCAUCACCCCAAAAAGAAACCCCAUGCCCUAUAACCAUUAUUCCCCCAAUCUUUUCACUCUCCCUCCUACCCCUAGUCCUAGGCAAUCAAUAACUUACUUUCUGUCUCUAUAGAUUUACCCAUUUUGGACAGUUUAUGUAGAAGGAACCAUGAAGUAUAUGGUCUUUUGUCACUGCCUUCUUUCACUUAGCAUAAAAAUUUCAAGGUUCAUCCAUGUUAUAGCACAUAUCAUACUUCAGUUCUUUUUAUUGCUGAAUAAUAAUACUGAGCAUCAGAUGUUAAGAGAGUUAGAGACAUAUGCUAAAGACAAAUUGGGGCACACUCAGCUGAGAGUCUAGGUCUUAACUCAAAACUGUGUCAUAAGGAAUAAUUGAAGAAACCAAGGUUACUUAAUGCAGGAAUAAGAAGAUACAGUGACUUGAUAUCUAUUUACAAAUGACUGAAGAAAUAGCAUAAUUCAGAGAUAAUUGACAUUUUCUGUCUGAAUAUAGGUAGCAGAUUUAAGAACUAUUGGAAGAAGCUGUAGCAAACAAAUUUUACCUUGAAGUUAAAAAAAUGUAUACAAUUUCCCCCAAAGGAAAUAGAGAACCUCUGAAACACAUAUAUUCUUGACUAAGAUGUAAAAAUCUAGACCGGAUGAUCACAAACUGGGAAAGAUCUAGAGAAAGAUGAACUUUUGGCAUCCCUUUCAACCUUGAAAUUCUAUAUCAUUCAGAAGUCGAAUGGGAUUAGUGUCAGAACUGAGGUUAAAACUCAGAAACUCCUGGCUUCCAAACUUUUGCCCUACUCAGCCAUCACAUACACAAGCAAAAGUGAGAAAAGAGAGUUUAUCUAAGAUAAGUUGGCUUGGUGUGUUGAUGGAUUACUGUGGGGAUAAGGAGGAACCAAAGAAGAAGAGAGAAGUGGGACAACCUGACAUGUAUUCACACAUACGCAUGCGCGCGCGCACACACACACACACACACACACACACACACACACACACACACACACACCAAGAGAUAACUGAAGGGCAAUGUGUAUCUUUGGCUAAGUUGGGAGCAGACCUGACAUUUAGACCCCUACAUUGUCUAUACUGAAGCUUUUGCUCUCUAAGAAGAGAGAGUUUGGUUUGGGAAGAAGUUAUAAAUAAUUAGAGAAUAGAGGGGUUAACAUCCAUACCUAUCUAUAGGCCUCAAACCCAAACCAUUUUUAAUAUAGAUGUGAGAUUCUAGGCAAAAGUUGAAAUACAAAAGCUCAUUGAAUUAUUAUUUAAAGACUUUACCAGACAAACAGCACUCUUUGGUUUGCAAAUUACAGCACCAGGGGGCAAUAAUAUGGAGGCCAUUGUCUGCACGGAUCACACCACCACUCAGGCACCAGCUCAUGAUGGACUGAAAGCAUAUAGAGACAGCACAUGGGUAAAGGCAUUCUCAGGCUCCUAAGGGGCACUGCACUGCUGGCAAUGCUCAGUCUCCUUUGUUCAGCUUCGCAGAUCGUGGCCAUGACAGAUGGGAACUGGAAAAGAGGAGAAAAAACCUGGAAGAUAUAGGCAGUGACUUCAACCAAAAGACUGGUUUGUGAGCACAUGUUAAUAUGACGCCAUCAUGGUGGACUCCCAGAAAUACUAGGGAGACAUUUUGAAGAUGCCCGAUUUCCUGUUGAAGCAGAGCAGUGAUGGACAACGGAUCUAUACUAUGUUGAGUUACCAGCAAUUGCCUUCUAAACAACAAAAGCUUUAUUCUGAAAUCACAAAACAGAGCAAGAAUAUUUGAGAGGGCUGCACCUGGGCUAGGGGAUGAAUCAGAGCUACAGCUGUGGCCUAAGCCAUAGAUGCUGCAACACGGGAUCUGAGCCACAUCUGCAACCUAUACUACAGCUUGCCGCCAUGUCAGUUCCUGAACCCAAUGUGUAAGGCCAGGGAUUGAACCUGCAUCCUCAUGAGCACUAUGUUGGGUUUUUAACCUGCUGAGCCACAACGAAAACUCCAUUUUUGUUUUGUUGUUUUUUUUUUUAAUUGGGAUAUAAUCCACAUAUAAAAUUCAUCAUUUUAAAUUGUAAAAUUCAAUGGUUUUUAGUAUAUUUAUAAGAUCAUGCAACCAUUACGACUAAUUCCAAGACACUUUUAUCGCUCCAAAAAGGAGACCUCAUAUGCUUUAGCAGUCAUUCUCAAUUCUCUACUCACCCCAGCCCUUGGCAACUACUAGUCUACCUUUUGACUAUAUGGAUUUGAUUUAUUCAAGAUGUUUCAUGUAAAUUGAAUCAUAUUAUAUAUAGCCUUUUGUGUCUAGCAUAAUGUUUUUAAGUUUCAUCCAUGAUGUAGUUGGUAUCAGUAACAUCAAUUCUCUUUAUUGCUGAUAAUAGUAUUCCAUUGUAUAGAUAGGCCACAUUUUGUUUUUCCAUUCAUCAGUUGGUGGACAUUUGGAUUGUUUCCACUUUGGGGUUAUUGGAGAUAGUGCUGAUAUAAACAUUUGUGCACAAGUAUUUAUUUGAAUACAUGUUUUCAUUUAUCUUGGGCAUAAACCUAGGAGUGGAAUUUCUGGGUCUUAUGGUAACUCUAUGUUUAACUUUUUGAGGAUCUGCCACUGUUUUCCAAAGUGGCUGCACUAUUAUGUUCCUACCAGUAAGGACUGAGGGUUGAUGUGGUUAGGUUUAGAAUCUUAACUAUUCAGUUCUGCUGGUGAAACUAGAUCAGGCUUUGUGUGACGCUGCAAUUUCAAAGUAUACUAAAAAAAAUAAGAACACUGUGAAAUGCAUGGCUCUCCAUUAUAUUUAGUCUUUUUCUUUUACAAUUUCUUUUUUUGGCUGUGCCUGUGGCAUACAAAAAUUCUAGGGACAGAGAUUGAACCCAUGCCACAGCACUGACAAUGAUGGAUCCUUAACCUACUGAGCCACCAGGGAACUCCCUACAAUUUUAAGAUUCACUUUGUUCAAACUAUUCUCAUUCAUAGCAAAAGGCUAUAACCUACAAUAGUUCUACUCACAGAGUAGGAAUUCAAUAAAUAUAUAUUAAAUGAGUAGAUGAAUGAAUAAGAGGUAAUCUUAGUGGUUUCAUUAAAAAACAUUAAAAAGUAUUUCACAAAAAGCAUUGUCUUCUUGAUUCUAUGCUACCCCUGUUCUGUCACUGAUAUAACAUUUGAAGGCAAUAAAGACAAUUCUUGAGUUCCCACUGUGGUACAGCAGGUUAAGAACAUGACUAGUAUCCAUGAGGAUUCGGGUUCAAUCCCUGG